UGCCACGCAUCGCGGUCACUCACAGCAUCUGGGCACACGGCACGUAAUGUAUCUUAUUGUACAAUUUCUCGAUAAUUACAGACAUGUUAUCACUGUGUAAUGUUUACCGUAUCCUGUGAUGAGACGAAUAGUAUUGACGGACAGCUGAUUUACUGAUUAGCAUGGCUAUCUUUGACGAAAAAAUAAAUAGUUGGUAGGCUACGUGAGGUCCCAGGAUGCUGCUGAGUGAACGCCAUUGUUGACAGAUGCUAAAGGCUGAAGUAACGCCAUUGUUGACGGAAGAUGUGGAUUACCUAGGGCUAUGUGACCUAUUUAAGGAAAGCUCACCGAAGUUUCUACGUUUUUCCAGGGUGAAAAAAAAACUGCAAUGCAGUGAGCUCAGUACUGGUGACUGCACUAUUGCUGCAUAUUCAAGUCUUGGUCUUAUCGUCAAUGUUAUUAAUUUCUUGAUCACAUCUUCAUUCAGAGUGUCCUCCAAGACUGCCUGCAACUUUCUGUUAAUCUCCAGGGAGAGCUCAAGAGUCAUAGUUCCAUCCCGAGGUGCUGAUCCAUACACUGAUGCCAUGAUACCACCAUGCCGCAUCAACUCAGCCUGAGAAGAGACAAAGUGGAUUUUAGUUUGUAUGAAUUGUAUGCCUUUACAUAUUGAUAAAAAAUAUGCAAGAAUCAAUAAGCACCUUUAAGUAUGCUUUAAAACUACACUAGUAUAUGUUUUUGCAACCAAUAUUGGAGGACGCACCUGUUUCUUUGAACCUGGUAUCCUGGUAGCAGCAUUGGAAGACUGAUAUAAAAAUGUUAUUAAUACUGGGUCAGUUCUCCAACUAGCCCAAAAAAUAAAAGUGUCAAGAUCUUA